rnacentral:rRNA from 1 species
GUCUAGGGCCAUACCCGCCUGAAUGUGCCUAAUCUUGCUUGAUUUCAGAAGCUAAGGAGGGUUGGGCCUGGUUAGAACUUGGAUGGGGAGAAUUAUACA